CCGCCGCCAUCCGGUCGUGAUCAUAACCGAGGCCUUGUCUGCACAGUUACACAUCAGGCCCAAACCCACAGCCCUCGGCAGCCGCCCCACGCGGGCCCUGCCUCGGCAGACUUCCCAACCUCUGCAUGAGCCGCAGAGGAAAGUGAGACCCCCUAGGCUCUCCUGAAGCCAGCCCUGGGCCCAUCCCCAAGGAUGCUUUGGGAAGGAGAUAAGGAGGUGAGAUAGAAUCUGGCAGAGACGGAAGAUGAAAAAAAGACAAACGGAAGAAAAGAAAGCAGGAAGGAGCAAAGGAAAGAAGAAAAAAGAAAGAAGAGAUAAAAGAGGAAGGGAAGACAGGGAAAAGAAGGAAGAAAAGAGACAGAGGCGACUCCUAGCAGCGGCCGAGCUUACAGAGAGAAGGGUGGAGGUGUGUGGUGGAAGGGGAAAGCCGGCCGGCUGGCAAAGCGCUACGGAGAAAGACACGAGGCUCCUGCGCAGGGAAAGCCGAGGUUGCCACCAAAGGCCUGGCACGACCAGGGCCGUGAUGCCCCGCCCGGCCCGACCCCCGCGCGCAGAGGUACCUGGAGACGAUUUCAACUGAAGUAAUGAAGGCAGUGUCGUGCUGUCGAGAGAAAGGUGGAUCCCAACAACAGGAAACUACCUAAAUCACCGACCAGUUCUGGUGCUGCCCGCGCAGGGCUGCCUCGCCAGCCGCCGCCGCCGCCGCCGCCGCCGCCGCCAAGGAGAAAACCCUGCGAUCGCGCCUGGCCCAGCCCAGCCCCUAGGCAACCUGCGCCCGCCGCUGCAACGGAGUGCCCCAGGCGGCCGCAAAUGCGUCAAGGAAGGGCAAGCCACUGGCCCCAGUAAGCCAAAGUCAAGCCCGUUUGCCAACCUGCAUGUCCAUGCCUGUAAGCCCUUCUCUUGGCCAAGGAAGAAAGGAAGAAAGAAAAAAGAAACCUGGGGGCCUGUAUCCCCUGAUUAAACACAGCACAGCACUCCAGGCAGACAUGCCCGGUGGCGGCUCCUUUGCACCAUUGACCUCAGGCCAGACACCUCAGCGCCAACAAUGGGACCUCGGCCUUCCGGCUAGGUUUGCCCCAGGCUGGGCAGGAAACCAGCUCGGCCGAAGACAGGGGCCAUUUCGAGCAGUGGGACCCCAAGACAGCAAACCCAGCCCAGUCACGACUUGACACUUAGGACAAUAUCUAUCUCUAUAGAAUUUUAGCACGAUAUGGCUUUUUCCCCCAGAAAACAACAAAUAAACCAGCACCAAGCAAACACAAAGAAACAAAAAGUCAGAACAAACCAGCCCUGCACAGAUGUAACGGCCCAGGAGAUGGCGAGUGUGGGAGGGAGGAACAGGGCUCCAGCACAGGUGCGAGUUCCUGGGCAGAGGCUGAAGACAGAGGGAGGAGACCAGCGCUCGGGAAGUGAAAAAACCGCGUCGCCUGGAGAUUCAUCAGGAAAAAUUAAAGU